CUUGCCAUUGUCGGUGUCAGUAAUGGGCUUUACAGACCCAAAGAGUGGGAUUUUAAAAGUCUUCCCCAUAAAUAAACGAGAAGAAAGCAAUCUCUUGGCCCCGGAGACCACUUCCUAGCCUAGGAUAAGCACCCACUAUCAAAUUGUGGAGCCAGGCUAAUGAAAGUGGACUGGAGAAAUCUACCCCGAGGAAAGGGAAGCCUGGUUUUGUGGGGGUGUGGGUGCGUGCUUGGCUCAUCCCAACGUGUUGGCCUUCUGGCUAGCAGGAGGAAUUAAUUCUGGCCUCUGCAGCAGCCCUCGCUUCUUUGCCAAAAGGCAAGAGGCUGGAGUCCUGCUCGCGGCUCCCUCCUCCUCCUGCCACCUACACAUCCACGAGUCACUUCCAAGGGUGGAGAAGGCUUUGAAGUCGGUAGUGACGCCGUGGAGGGUGAAGGCUUCGGAGAACUGAAGAGGUGAACACAGGGCCAGCAGAUAAGCAACCUAAACAACCAAGAGUGCACUCCCAGGCACAGAAUGAAGAAUUUCUGACAAUGAGUUUUUGCCUGGCUUUUGCUUAGUCUAGUUUUUAGAGCUAUGAAGGAUGAUGUUCCUGAACUUGGCUAAGCCAGAAAUGGAAGGCCAGCUGGGUGUCAGCGUAAUGAACCAGUGAACAUCAGCUCUCCCAUAUGGGGCUAAGGAAGGAUGAAGAAUCCAGCGGGAAAGACCGAGAGCACAUGGCUU
rnacentral:lncRNA from 1 species